UAUUCUAGGUGCACGCCUGG
rnacentral:misc_RNA from 1 species